GGGUUGUGAGGUUAAGCGACUAAGCGUACACGGUGGAUGCCCUGGCAGUCAGAGGCGAUGAAGGACGUGCUAAUCUGCGAUAAGCGUCGGUAAGGUGAUAUGAACCGUUAUAACCGGCGAUUUCCGAAUGGGGAAACCCAGUGUGAUUCGUCACACUAUCAUUAACUGAAUCCAUAGGUUAAUGAGGCGAACCGGGGGAACUGAAACAUCUAAGUACCCCGAGGAAAAGAAAUCAACCGAGAUUCCCCCAGUAGCGGCGAGCGAACGGGGAGCAGCCCAGAGCCUGAAUCAGUGUGUGUGUUAGUGGAAGCGUCUGGAAAGGCGCGCGAUACAGGGUGACAGCCCCGUACACAAAAAUGCACAUGCUGUGAGCUCGAUGAGUAGGGCGGGACACGUGGUAUCCUGUCUGAAUAUGGGGGGACCAUCCUCCAAGGCUAAAUACUCCUGACUGACCGAUAGUGAACCAGUACCGUGAGGGAAAGGCGAAAAGAACCCCGGCGAGGGGAGUGAAAAAGAACCUGAAACCGUGUACGUACAAGCAGUGGGAGCACGCUUCGGCGUGUGACUGCGUACCUUUUGUAUAAUGGGUCAGCGACUUAUAUUCUGUAGCAAGGUUAACCGAAUAGGGGAGCCGAAGGGAAACCGAGUCUUAACUGGGCGUUAAGUUGCAGGGUAUAGACCCGAAACCCGGUGAUCUAGCCAUGGGCAGGUUGAAGGUUGGGUAACACUAACUGGAGGACCGAACCGACUAAUGUUGAAAAAUUAGCGGAUGACUUGUGGCUGGGGGUGAAAGGCCAAUCAAACCGGGAGAUAGCUGGUUCUCCCCGAAAGCUAUUUAGGUAGCGCCUCGUGAAUUCAUCUCCGGGGGUAGAGCACUGUUUCGGCAAGGGGGUCAUCCCGACUUACCAACCCGAUGCAAACUGCGAAUACCGGAGAAUGUUAUCACGGGAGACACACGGCGGGUGCUAACGUCCGUCGUGAAGAGGGAAACAACCCAGACCGCCAGCUAAGGUCCCAAAGUCAUGGUUAAGUGGGAAACGAUGUGGGAAGGCCCAGACAGCCAGGAUGUUGGCUUAGAAGCAGCCAUCAUUUAAAGAAAGCGUAAUAGCUCACUGGUCGAGUCGGCCUGCGCGGAAGAUGUAACGGGGCUAAACCAUGCACCGAAGCUGCGGCAGCGACGCUUAUGCGUUGUUGGGUAGGGGAGCGUUCUGUAAGCCUGUGAAGGUGUGCUGUGAGGCAUGCUGGAGGUAUCAGAAGUGCGAAUGCUGACAUAAGUAACGAUAAAGCGGGUGAAAAGCCCGCUCGCCGGAAGACCAAGGGUUCCUGUCCAACGUUAAUCGGGGCAGGGUGAGUCGACCCCUAAGGCGAGGCCGAAAGGCGUAGUCGAUGGGAAACAGGUUAAUAUUCCUGUACUUGGUGUUACUGCGAAGGGGGGACGGAGAAGGCUAUGUUGGCCGGGCGACGGUUGUCCCGGUUUAAGCGUGUAGGCUGGUUUUCCAGGCAAAUCCGGAAAAUCAAGGCUGAGGCGUGAUGACGAGGCACUACGGUGCUGAAGCAACAAAUGCCCUGCUUCCAGGAAAAGCCUCUAAGCAUCAGGUAACAUCAAAUCGUACCCCAAACCGACACAGGUGGUCAGGUAGAGAAUACCAAGGCGCUUGAGAGAACUCGGGUGAAGGAACUAGGCAAAAUGGUGCCGUAACUUCGGGAGAAGGCACGCUGAUAUGUAGGUGAAGUCCCUCGCGGAUGGAGCUGAAAUCAGUCGAAGAUACCAGCUGGCUGCAACUGUUUAUUAAAAACACAGCACUGUGCAAACACGAAAGUGGACGUAUACGGUGUGACGCCUGCCCGGUGCCGGAAGGUUAAUUGAUGGGGUCAGCGCAAGCGAAGCUCUUGAUCGAAGCCCCGGUAAACGGCGGCCGUAACUAUAACGGUCCUAAGGUAGCGAAAUUCCUUGUCGGGUAAGUUCCGACCUGCACGAAUGGCGUAAUGAUGGCCAGGCUGUCUCCACCCGAGACUCAGUGAAAUUGAACUCGCUGUGAAGAUGCAGUGUACCCGCGGCAAGACGGAAAGACCCCGUGAACCUUUACUAUAGCUUGACACUGAACAUUGAGCCUUGAUGUGUAGGAUAGGUGGGAGGCUUUGAAGUGUGGACGCCAGUCUGCAUGGAGCCGACCUUGAAAUACCACCCUUUAAUGUUUGAUGUUCUAACGUUGACCCGUAAUCCGGGUUGCGGACAGUGUCUGGUGGGUAGUUUGACUGGGGCGGUCUCCUCCUAAAGAGUAACGGAGGAGCACGAAGGUUGGCUAAUCCUGGUCGGACAUCAGGAGGUUAGUGCAAUGGCAUAAGCCAGCUUGACUGCGAGCGUGACGGCGCGAGCAGGUGCGAAAGCAGGUCAUAGUGAUCCGGUGGUUCUGAAUGGAAGGGCCAUCGCUCAACGGAUAAAAGGUACUCCGGGGAUAACAGGCUGAUACCGCCCAAGAGUUCAUAUCGACGGCGGUGUUUGGCACCUCGAUGUCGGCUCAUCACAUCCUGGGGCUGAAGUAGGUCCCAAGGGUAUGGCUGUUCGCCAUUUAAAGUGGUACGCGAGCUGGGUUUAGAACGUCGUGAGACAGUUCGGUCCCUAUCUGCCGUGGGCGCUGGAGAACUGAGGGGGGCUGCUCCUAGUACGAGAGGACCGGAGUGGACGCAUCACUGGUGUUCGGGUUGUCAUGCCAAUGGCACUGCCCGGUAGCUAAAUGCGGAAGAGAUAAGUGCUGAAAGCAUCUAAGCACGAAACUUGCCCCGAGAUGAGUUCUCCCUGACUCCUUGAGAGUCCUGAAGGAACGUUGAAGACGACGACGUUGAUAGGCCGGGUGUGUAAGCGCAGCGAUGCGUUGAGCUAACCGGUACUAAUGAACCGUGAGGCUUAACCUUACAACGCCGAAG
rnacentral:rRNA from 1 species